rnacentral:lncRNA from 1 species
GCCGGGCGUGGUGGCACAUGCCUGUAAUCCCAGCUACUCGGGAGGCUGAGGCAGGAGAAUGGCUUGAACCCAGGAGUCGGAGGUUUCAGUGAGCCGAGAUCAUGCCAUUGCACUCCAGCUUGGGCAACAAGAGCAAAACUCUGGCUCAAAAAAAAGAAAGACAGGGUCUUCGUCUCGCUCUGUCACCUAGGCUGGAGUGCAGUGGCACGAUCAUAGCUGACUGUAACCUCCAAUUCCUGGGCUCAAGCCAUGCUCCCUCC